GGGGCCGUAGCUCAGCUGGGAGAGCACCUGCUUUGCAAGCAGGGGGUCGUCGGUUCGAUCCCGUCCGGCUCCACCA
rnacentral:tRNA from 477 species